UUUAGCAGAAACAUCUAAUGUUUUGCCACUAGGUUAUUUACAAUACUAGAUGAAGUUCAAGGAGUCUUUGGCUUUGCUUUUCAUUUCCCUACAAAUUAUUUUCCAGCCUCUGUGGAUUUUCUGAAUUUUGUCUCCUAGAAUUGACCACAAGAGAAGACUCCCUUUCAAACUCUUCGUUCUCUGGUUCAGAGGUUUGAUGUAAUGGUUGUCUCAUCGUACAUGGCCAGCCACAGGAUAUACUUCAUCCAUUUCAGAGCUGUACUCCUAAGUUCCAUGCUAUAAUCAGAAAUAUGUGGCACAUUUUGAACAAAGGAAAUAUAUACCCAACAAAGUGUUAAAACGGAGCUGCCAACCAGACAAACCCUAGAAAUAUGUAGCCACUUACAGGCAGAACACAACUACAUGUGUUCCCAAUGUGGAAGGCAUUCCGGAAGUGUAUGCAUCCACAUUUCUACAUGAGGCAUCGCCUAUGCAGGCAAUCAAAGGAUGUUAAUGGAUAAAUGUUUCAGGCAGAAUAAUGGCCCUCAAAGAUGUUGACACCAGAAUCUUCAGAACCUGUGCAUAUGUUACCUAACAUGACAAAAGGGACUUUGCUGAUGUGAUUAAGGUCAAGAACUUUGAGAAGGGAAGAUUAUCCUGGAUUAUACAGGUCAACGUUUAUUUCUUUCUGAACUUUCCUGGAGGAUCAUCUGCCAUACUCCAGCAGAAAGAUGGAUUUGAAAAAAUAACGUUUCCACGGCAACAGUGGCAGCAAUUUAGUGAGUUGCUUUUCCAUUCUUCCUUCAAGACUUUCAGCCUGUAGAAUUGUUUCAGAAAAAGAAAAGCUGCUCUUCCUUUAAAAAAUAAUAUAUGCAUUUAGAUUCAUUCUGAUGAGACAGUUAUGAUUCUAGGAAUAUUCCCAGGAU
rnacentral:lncRNA from 1 species